GUAUUUUCGAAUUAAGUCAAUUCGCGACACAUGUUUUCAGACAAAGUAGGUUCAAAGUAGUGUUGAUAUAAAAAAUAGAGACGUUAUCAGCUCUUCGGACACAGAGGCCCAGAGGAGUGAUGUCUCAGAACGUUGCACACAAGGUGGAUAUGGAAUGUUUAAAAAGUGCCAUAAAACACUUGUUGUGAAUGAUCCUUCCGCAGGUUCACCUACGGAAA
rnacentral:misc_RNA from 1 species